GGGGGUAUAGCUCAGUGGUAGACUGCAUGCUCAGCAUCCACCAGGUCCUGAGUUCAAUCCCCAGUACCUCCA
rfam:Camelus ferus unplaced genomic scaffold scaffold971, whole genome shotgun sequence.